CAGUAGCCACGGUAAUACGAAGGUCCCGAGCGUUGUUCGGAAUCACUGGGCGUAAAGGGAGCGUAGGCGGCGUGGUAAGUCAGAUGUGAAAUCCCGGGGCUCAACCCCGGAACUGCAUCCGAUACUGCCAUGCUAGAGGAUUGGAGAGGUAGCUGGAAUCCUUGGUGUAGCAGUGAAAUGCGUGGAGAUCAAGAGGAACACUCGUGGCGAAAGCGAGCUACUGGACAAUAACUGACGCUGAGGCUCGAAGGCCAGGGUAGCGAAAGGGAUUAGAUACCCGUGUAGUCCCUGUCUCUUAUAC
rnacentral:rRNA from 1 species